AUUGUCCUUUGUAAACAGAUUUAUUGUAUAAGGUCAGAAAAUUUUUUGUUUAUACAGAUUGGAUUUUGGUAAAUAAAGGAGGAUUAAUACGUGAUGAAUGCAGUGCGUGUUUUUGUUUCUUCUUGGUUAGAUGGUGCCUGAUUUUCGAUAUAAAUAAACAUGGACCGCUCUCAGCUUAUUAUCCCAUCAAAAAUCCUCGACACCUUAGUAUGUGAAAACUGCUACAGCUACCUCACAGUCUUGCCCGUUUGUGUACUUCCUAAUGGAUUUAAAAUAUGCGGACGAUGCUUACGUAAAAAAUAUCCAAGAACAUCAAAAAAGCCUUUUUGUUUACUUGAAAACUUGGAUGCUGUUUAUAACAUUCCCAUAGCAUUGCUCGGAUAUAUGAGUUACUUAUCUACAUUCCCUUGUAUAAAUAACUACGAGGGCUGCAGAGAAACUUUUAAACUGGAAGAUAUAGAGAUCCACGAAGAAAAUUGUGUUUUUAAAAAGAUUCGGUGCGCGUUGUGUAGAUUUAGUGGUGUGGGUUGUCAAAUGGUGAACCACUUUAAGACGUUUCAUAAAAAGUAUUUUUCAAGAGAAGCAAGGCUAGUGCUGAGGACUUGCAAUAAUUUUCAAGAUACCGCGCUAUGUGAUUUUUUAAAUCAUCUUUUAUUUGUUACAAUAGCGUUCCAGAAACAAAAUCGAACUUUAUCAUUGCGAUUUAAUUGUAUUAGUGAUAUAAGUUGUUUUGCUUUUGCCAAAUUAUUUUUGAGGUUUGUUUGUAAAGGAGCCAAAGAAUUUGGACAAUUAGAGCUUUUAUCAGAGAAGCUUUUUUUGAUUAAGGGUGAGAGUUUUGAGAUUUCGGUACAAACUGAAGAUUUUCAUUUUGUGGAAUCUGAUAGCGUAGAAUGCACUUUUAAGGUAUUUUUUGUAUAAAAUGUAUUAUUGUAAAUAAGUGAUCAUAUAAUUUAGAUUUUGUUAUUUAUUAGGUAUGGAUUCAUAGCAUUUUUUACAUUAGAUUUUUUAUCUAGUAUAUUGUUUAUUAGUAAAGAAAUAUACAAAUACCAACUUGUA